UUCAGUUGCUUCAAAAUUGCUGCUUCAGUGCAUUCAGCGGACACGGCCCCACAGUCCUGGAGGCUCUUUUGGGGCUGAAAAGCCUUCAGAUCUGUCUCUGCAGUGCAGUGUUUGCGGAGUGAGCUGUCGCUGGUCGUUUCAUCCCAAGGCCAAUUUGUGCAGCAAUCAGAGAUAUCACUUGAUGCUGCGCUGUGGUUUUGAUAUGCAUAUGUUUGCCUGUUAGCGUUUGUGUCCACAGCACUUGAAGUAUGUUUGUAUGAUUGGGUUUAUUAAUGACCCCUUUAGGCUGUUUUCUGGACCUCCUUUAAAGAAAGAAACCCAAUCAUGAUAUGUUUGCUUCUCUGAUGUUGUUGUUGUUGUUGUUCAUAAUGCAUAUUUUAAGAAUAAUCCCAAUAUUCCAAAGUUGCCAGCUGUGAGUUUUUUAAUGCUGCUCUGGGGCUUUAAUUGAGCGUCCAAUACUGAUAAACACUCAUGUGUGAAGGUCUGAAAGCAUUUCUCAUCCUGCUCAUCUCUGACGUCAGUGAAGCUAUAGGUUUCUUAUUCUGAAUUAUUUAAGUUUGUCCCACGGAGCCAAUCACGACUUGAGCAUCCCUAAAUUUUUAACCGCAGUCAGAAUUCAGAGAUUUUGCAUUAGUAAUGACUGGAGCGAGGCGAUGACGUCAAAACAAAGCGUGUCAGACACAACUUGAAGAGGAAAUAUCUCAAACAAUUCAACGACAUGAGGAGUGACAAAAGUUUCUUUACAGCUCUUUGUCUGAGAUGUGAAGAUGAGUUUUUUUAUAUACAUGUGUGAAGGUAAAAA